rnacentral:rRNA from 1 species
UUGACCUCGGAUCAGGCAGGGAUACCCGCUGAACUUAAGCAUAUCAAUAAGCGGAGGAAAAGAAACCAACAGGGAUUGCCUCAGUAACGGCGAGUGAAGCGGCAACAGCUCAAAUUUGAAAUCUGGCUCUUUUAGGGUCCGAGUUGUAAUUUGUAGAGGAUGCUUCGGCGUCGGCUCCGGUCUAAGUUCCUUGGAACAGGACGUCAUAGAGGGUGAGAAUCCCGUAUGUGAUCGGUUGCCUUGCCAUGUGAAGCUCCUUCGACGAGUCGAGUGUUUGGAAUGCAGCUCUAAUGGAAGUAAAUUUCUUCUAAGCUAAUACUGGC